UGGAGGCAAAGGAGCUUUAAGGUUUAAUGACUACCCGAUUGAAUUUUGGGCCUGCAUGGUGGUUGUAGCCCCUUCAUUUUGGCCAAUUUCUUCCAUUUGGAAUGGCUGUACUUAUCUACUGCCUCUACCCCCAUUAUAUCUAUGUGGCUCCUCAAUCAAGGGAUAUAAUCUAUUUCUGCUCUCUUAAAUUGAAUUUGCUCUGUGACUUGCUUUGGCUAAUGGGACAUCAGCAAACAUGACAGUAACCUGCUGAAUAAAGAGAGAGACAUGUGACCAUCACCCUAGAGACACCAGGGCAAUUUUCAAAAACGUCCCACUCUGACUAUAACCAUCUGGCAUUUAUAAAGUCGGCUCUCAGGUGAUGAUGUAAACACCAAUGGAAAGUCAACAUCAAACAAAAAUUGUGUAAAGUCAAUUUGAUACCUAUCCUUUUAUUCUGGUUUCUUUUUUCCCCCCUUCAUCUUAAUAAUCCUACACAUUUGCAGUGAAUUUAGUGAAGUAUGAGGUAGCAG
rnacentral:lncRNA from 1 species